CAGGCCUAACACAUGCAAGUCGAACGCGAAAGGGACUUCGGUCCUUAGUAGAGUGGCGCACGGGUGAGUAACGCGUGGGAACGUACCCUGGAGUGGGAAUAACCAUUGGAAACGAUGGUUAAUACCGCAUAAUGUCUUCGGACCAAAGAUUUAUCGCUCUUGGAUCGGCCCGCGUUAGAUUAGUUUGUUGGUGGGGUAAUGGCCUACCAAGACUACGAUCUAUAGCUGGUUUGAGAGGACGACCAGCCACACUGGGACUGAGACACGGCCCAGACUCCUACGGGAGGCAGCAGUGGGGAAUAUUGGACAAUGGGCGCAAGCCUGAUCCAGCCAUGCCGCGUGAGUGAUGAAGGCCUUAGGGUUGUAAAGCUCUUUCAACGGUGAAGAUGAUGACGGUAACCGUAGAAGAAGCCCCGGCUAACUUCGUGCCAGCCGCCGCGGUAA
rnacentral:rRNA from 1 species